GACUGUACUAGUUUGUCUGGUUGGUCACAUUCUGUGAGCCAUGAACAAAGUUCAACAGGUCUAACUCAGGGUGACUAUCCACUCUUCCAUGUUGCUUAAAGAUCACCUGUUGAAACUCCUGGUUGGAGAACACCCCACCCCACUUUGAGUGGAUCAAAGACAACACGGGCCAACAGAGGCAAGUUUAAGCCUUGCCAGGUCAAUACUUGGAUGCUAAGCGGGGUGACUGGUGUCUGUGUUUUGUCAUGUGUAUUUUCCUCUGCCUGGAAUAAAAAACGUCAUUUUGGAUCCCCCAUGUAGCCUGGCUACAUCUUGCAAAAUGAGGUUUUUGACUAUGAUUCCAUGAAACAGAAAGAGAUGAUUUUCUUUUGUAAUGCAGCAUGGCCCCCACAGCUAUGGUACAGCAAGCAGCAUCACCAAAGCUGCUGAGAGAUAAGGAACCUGGAAAGCUAGCAUGCCGGCAAAAGGCCUGGGAUUCCUUAGGAGAAACAGAGGAGGUACCACGGGCCCCAUUUAGGGAAAAACCUGUUUUCCUCAUGAAACCCACAAAAUUGACACAACUGGAGACACUGAUUAUUUUACCAAGGCUUUGACUGGAAAUGGCAUGGUUUCAGGCUGCUUUGAGUAACUGAGGUUGACUUACAGAGCUGAUAACAGCCCCUUGGAAAUACUGGUCUCAUACCUUGUCCUUUACAGGGCUCCUAACCCGUAGUAAAUAAAGAAUGUCACUUUCUGACAGACCCAGGAAUCCCAAGUUAUUGUGGGACCUCAAGAAGAGAGAAAUUCACCCAAUUCAUACAGGUAUGUGCAGGCACAGAUGAAUCCUUGGCUGGGCUAGAGACUUUUAAAAGGUCUAAUCUGAGAUUCCUUAUGAAAUAAAUUCCAGCAAAGCCAAUUAUUUUUAGAAAAAGAACCUAUUUGGCAAAUAACUAUUCUUGCUGCAUUUUAUGCAAAUAACCAGGCCAAAUAUAAUGGGACUGGAACUUAUUUUGCAAAUAAAUUGGUCCUACUAUGAUUUGUGUUUGGUAGAAAUGGGGAACUGGAGAGAGAAAAAUUGUUUCAGAAAAAAACUAUAGUACAACUGUUAUUAGAUUCCAGCCUUAUCCACUAUGUUUGAGUCUCUGCUAAUGACCCCAUAUCUGAUUGAUUCUUGGGGUCAUUCACCUGUAUCCCUUAAGGCUUCAGGUCAGUUCUACAGGGAUUCCUGAAGUGAGGACUUUCUCUCCUUAUGUUGGGGCUCAUUAUUUGUCUUAUAGUCCACCUGUUCACUUAAGUGCUGUGUGAAAGCUGUGGAUAAGAGCACCAAUGUUUUCUUAUGCAGACCUUGGGAUCUCAACCUGGCACACAUGAAUACAUACCAACAAUUACAAGACAGUUUCACUCCUCUUACCCUGAGGGCAACUCCCACUCCAAAUCUGCCCCUGUGAGCAGGAAGAAGUUACAGUGGCUGUAGGCCUUUUUCCAUUUCCAUAACACACAGAUUAAAAAUAAGGUAUGAUGAAACCCAAAGGAGGGGGAUUAAAACUGUCUUUGCAAAAAUUGUAACAGUGAGAAAAUUCUGACCUAACCAAAUUCAGUCUUGCCUUUAACCUCCAAACUGCCCUUGGUCAUUUGAUAUGGUUUGGCUGUGCCCCCACCCAAAUCUCAUCUUGAAUUGUAGCUCUCACAAUUCCCACAUCGUGAGGGGGACCUGGUGGGAGAUAAUUGAAUCAUGAGGGUGAACCUUUAUCAUGCUCUUCUCAUGAUAGUGAAUAAGUCUCACAAGAUCUGAUGGUUUUAUAAAGAGGAGCGCCCCUGCACAAGUUCUGUGUUGCCUGCCAUCAUGUAAGACAUCCCUUGUUCUUCAGCCAUGAUUGUGAGGCCUCCCCAGCCAUGUGGAACUGUG
rnacentral:lncRNA from 10 species